UUGGAGGGCAAGUCUGGUGCCAGCAGCCGCGGUAAUUCCAGCUCCAAUAGCGUAUAUUAAAGUUGUUGUGGUUAAAAAGCUCGUAGUUGAACCUUGGGCCUGGCUGGCCGGUCCGCCUCACCGCGUGUACUGGUCCGGCCGGGCCUUUCCCUCUGUGGAACCCCAUGCCCUUCACUGGGUGUGGCGGGGAAACAGGACUUUUACNGUGAAAAAAUUGAGUGCUCCAGGCAGGCCUAUGCUCGAAUACAUUAGCAUGGAAUAAUAGAAUAGGA
rnacentral:rRNA from 1 species